rnacentral:SRP_RNA from 1 species
GCCGGGCGCGGUGGCAUGUGCCUGUAAUCCAAGUCAUUGGGAGGCUGAGGUUGGUGGAUCAAGUGAGCUGAGGAGCUCUGGGCUGCAGCACGCUAUGUCGAACGGGUGUCCACGCUAAGUUCGGUAUCGAUAUGGUGAUCCUGGGGGAGCCCGGGACCACCAGGUUGUCUAAGGGCCUUCCCUGUGGCUCAGUUGGUAGAGCAUGGUGGCAACGCCAGUGUUGUGCCUUCGAUUCCCACAAAAUAAAAAUGCACGAAAUGUAUGUAUUCACUACUGUAAAUCCCUCUGGAUAAGAGUGUCUGCUAAAUGACAAAAAAAUGUAAGGAGGGGUGCACCGGCCCAGGUCGGAAACGAAGCAGGUCAAAUCCCCCGUGCUGUCCAGUAGUGGGAUAAUACCUGUGAGUAGAUGCUGCAGUGCAGCCUUGGCAAGACAUCGUGACCUAACCUUUU